GCCUGGAUGGCUCAGUCGGUUGAGCGUCCGACUUCAGCUCGGGUCAUGAUCUUGCAGUCUGUGAGUUCGAGCCCCGCAUCGGGCU
rnacentral:tRNA from 1 species